UUGUAUAUUAUUUCUUGUUUGCAUUAACUUUUGUUUGAUUUUGUGUAUUACACAUGUUUGAUUAAGCUAGAUUUAAUCUCUUUACAUUACGAGAGUGGGCGUGUUGUGUGUAUAGUUAAGUAACAAGGGUUGCUUAUACUAUUUUAAUGUAUAUGGGAGUGCCCAUGAAAUAGAUUGACAGGUUGGUCAUUCAGAGUUCUAUGGUGAUACGGUCACAUAGUAGUGAAAUUGCAGCUAAUGAGAUGCUGAUUUUCUUUGUAAAUUGAUUUAUUUGAUGGCCCAGAGAUAAUGAUUAGUUGAUUUUAUUGAUGCUUUUAAAUCUAUUUUAUCAUUUCGUUUACGCUUGGAUUAACGGUCAAAAUUCCGGAA
rnacentral:lncRNA from 1 species